GACGAACGCUGGCGGCGUGCUUAACACAUGCAAGUCGAACGGAGUGGGGAACGGGGGAGUAUUACGUGAGUAACCUGCCCUCAACGGGGGGAUAAGCCUGGGAAGCUGGGUCUAAUACUGCAUAGUUGGGGCUGGGCUGGUGGCGUAUCAGCUUGUGGGUGGGGUGAUGGCCUACCAAGGCGGUGUCGGGUAGCCGGCCUGAGAGGGUGAGCGGCAACAUUGGGACUGAGAUACGGCCCAGACGCCGACGGGAGGGAGCAGUGGGGGAGAUUGCGCAAUGGGGGAAAGGCUGGUGCAGCGAGGCCGCGGGAGGGAUGAGGGCUUUCGGGUUGUAAACCUCGUUCGGUACAGAACGGGUAUGUGCAGAAGAAGCACCGGCUAACUCCGUGCCAGCAGCCGCGGUAAUAC
rnacentral:rRNA from 1 species